rnacentral:lncRNA from 1 species
GUUGUAUCUGCCAGGUCAAGCUGGGUGCAAAUAUGCUCUGGAGUUGCUGAAAUGGAAGAGGAAUUUCACCAUGUCGAACUUCUCAUGAGAAAACAGCCCUCUCUUCUGUGUCCUCUUCCCGAGGAUGUGACCUCCUCCUUUCACCCUCCAUUAAAGACAGCCUGUCUGAGAAAAGCAGUGAGCCUGGAAAGUUUCUGGGCCUCAGUUCUUCACAUAAAUAAAAUUAAACGACAAAAUACUUCAAAUGUUAAACACAUGAGAGGAAAAGCCAUAUUCUUACUGUCUUGA